GGACUUUUCAGCUGGGGUUCAGGCCCAUGUAUUGAACACCUGAAAAUGACCUGGACAAUAACAAAUGCGCACAUCCUAAAAGGACAUCCCCAGUUACAGUGUUGGAAUUGGAAAUAAUCUCCUUUUUGCUUGAUGUUGAUUAACCUUUAACUGAUUUUGAUUACCACUUGAUGAUAAAGAGAUCUACCACCACAAUUUUGUAGUAUCUCUCUGCUCAACCAAACUAUAUAUGUAAAUGUAGCUGUUGGCUAAUGGAAUUCAUCCUUCCUCUGGCCACUUACAAAAGAGCCUCUCAGUUGUCUUUUUCGGGUGCAUGAUCUGUUCAGCCUCACAAUCUUGACCACAUAUCAAAGCCAAAGGGCAAAAUAAGAUUGGUACUCAUAAAGGAGACUUCAGGCCUGUUCUAAAUCAUCUUUGAGUAGACAAUAUAUCGACAAGGAUAUACAUGUCAAUGCAUAAACAGUGUAUUGUCCUCCUUGAUAACAAAUUAAGGCCAUAAACAAAGACCUAAGAUAAUAUUAAAUAAUUUGUCUAUUCACUUUCACAGAAUCUUCAAUGAGAGAAAACCUGCUUCCACAAAAAUAAUGAUUAUAAGUUAGUGUAAGCUUGCCUUGGAAUCAAUAAUAUGAAUUAAGCAAUCGUGUGAGAAUAGAAUGAAUUAAAUUGUCAAUGUCAUUGACUGAUCAUCCGCACUGCCUGUUAGAGGUGGAAGCUGUAAUGGCUGAACACAAGGUUAGGAAUUAGUUUGCGGUUGAGCUUUGUUCAUGCUGACAUCCAAAGCCACUAAUAAGCUCAAGCAAUUGAGCAGCCUUCUACUUGCCCCUAAUUGUGCCAUUCUCUGCUAAGUCCUGAAGUGGAUCCUUGAUCCCAAGCAAUAUGGCCUCUGACAGAUGCUCAGGAUCUCCAGAACAGAGCUGCAGAAGCACUGCAGCUGCAUUUUCUCUGCUUAAGGGAGAUCCAUUCAUAACAAAAUCCACCAAAGUUGGCAAAGUAUCCAAAAUUCCUACCAUUAUUCUUCCAUCAGGAUGGCUAGCCAAUAUUGCCGUGAUUGCCAAUGCCUCAUCCACCAUUUCACAACCAGGUUGUGUUAGCAUUGUCACCAACAAGGGCACUGCUCCAGCCCUCACAGCUCGUCCCUUAGUCCCUUGGUAUAAGCACAAAUUGAAAAGAGCUGUUGCAGCAUCAACCUUCCCACUUCGUCUUCCUUUACUCAACAGUGCCACUAGAGCUGGGAUUGCUCCAGAUGCACCAAUAGACACUUUGUAGUCAUCCAAUGAAGACAGGCUGAAAAAAGUUGCUGCUGCAUUCUCUCUUGCUUCCAUAUUCCCAUUUUUUAGCACAUGAAGGAUACCAGGAAUAGCCCCAGAAGAAACUAUAAUUCCUUUGUUAACAUCAUAAAUAGAAAGAUUCAAAAGAGCAGUAACAGCAUGCUCUUGGGUGAGAUUGUCAUUUGCAUAGAGUAGGUCAGCAAGGAGGGGAAUUGCACCAGCCUCAGCAAUACACACAUGGUUUUCACUGUUAUGCUUAGAAAGUCGACGGAUCUCACCUGCAGCAGAUCGUUGAUCCUCAAUGUUACUUGAAAUGAGCUGGCUGAAAAGAGUACCAAGUUCCAGGGCUUCAACAAGGCAGGCAGAAGAUGUCUUGCACAGAUGUAAAUUGCCAGAUUUUUUAGGGGGUUCUACUCCAUUGGCUUCACACCAAUUGGAAAUUAGACUCCUUAAGCCAUGGUUUGGAAUCAGAACUUUGGUAGAUAGGACCUGUUGCGUCUUUGGACAUGUUCCAUGCCCGCUAUCAAGCCAUUUCUUAAUGCAAGCUCAGUCAUAGGUCUCUAAAAUGAAAGAAGACUAGUAAGGAAUGCAGCAGCAAGUAAAGACACUCUUUCAAACCAGUUCCAUUUCCUAUUUGAUUUUUGAUUCAGUUCCGAGUCCAAACUGGACAGUAGCCACACCUACCUAAAGUGCUCACAAUUCGAUUAACCUAAU
rnacentral:misc_RNA from 1 species